GCGGGUAUAGUACAAUGGUUCGUACGCUUGCCUUCCAAGCAAGAUAUGGGGGUCCGAUUCCCCCUACCCGCU
rnacentral:tRNA from 2 species